CCGCACCCCCAUCAGACUUUGGAUAAUCAUUGUUUUUUUGAUUUGUACUAGGAUGCAAAAGAAAGAAAUCCCUGUGCUUUCUGUCCAUCUUUGUGGUAGCCAAGAUUGAAUUGGGGAAUACAUUU
rnacentral:snoRNA from 1 species